rnacentral:rRNA from 1 species
UACGGGGGGGGCAAGCGUUGUUCGGAAUUACUGGGCGUAAAGGGCGCGUAGGCGGCCUGUUAAGUCGAACGUGAAAUCCCCGGGCUCAACCCGGGAACUGCGUCCGAUACUGGCAGGCUUGAAUUCGGGAGAGGGAUGUGGAAUUCCUGGUGUAGCGGUGAAAUGCGUAGAUAUCUGGAGGAAUACCGGUGGCGAAGGCGGCAUCCUGGACCGGCAUUGACGCUGAUGAGCGAAAGCUAGGGGAGCAAACGGG